rnacentral:rRNA from 1 species
UCGAACGGUGAAGCAGGGCUUGCCCUGUGGAUCAGUGGCGUACGGGUGAGUAACGCGUAGGUAACGUUCCCUUCCGCUGGGGAUAACCACUCGAAAGGGUGGCUAAUACCGAAUACAUUCGCAUUUUAUUAUUUUGCGAAGAAAGUGCCUUUAUGGUGCGUGGAGGGAUCGGCCUGCGUCCUAUUAGCUAGUUGGUGUGGUAACGGCGCACCAAGGCGACGAUGGGUAGCUGGUCUGAGAGGAUGAUCAGCCACACUGGGACUGAGACACGGCCCAGACUCCUACGGGAGGCAGCAGCGAGGAAUAUUGCGCAAUGGGGGAAACCCUGACGCAGCGACGCCGCGUGGACGAAGACGGCCUUCGGGUUGUAAAGUCCUGUCAGUGGGGACGAUAAUGACGGUACCCGCUGAGGAAGCUCCGGCUGACUCCGUGCCAGCAGCCGCGGUAAGACGGAGGGAGCAAGCGUUGUCCGGAAUUACUGGGCGUAAAGAGCUCGUAGGCGGGAAUUUAAGUCUGGGAGUAAAUCCGACGGCUCAACUGUCGGGUCAUUCUGGAUACUGGAUUUCUUGAGGACAGAAGAGGAAAGCGGAAUUCCUAGUGUAGCGGUGAAAUGCGUAGAUAUUAGGAGGAACACCAGUGGCGAAGGCGGCUUUCUGGUCUGGUCCUGACGCUGAGGAGCGAAAGCCAGGGGAGCGAACGGGAUUAGAUACCCCGGUAGUCCUGGCUGUAAACGAUGGAUACUAGGUGUA